UUAACAUUAUGUUUGAUUCAAAAAUAGCUUUAUCGUAUUAAAAAUGGUACAAAAAUAUCUUCUUUUCAGUUAUUAGAUCAAAUUUGCUUUUCAAUUAAUUUAUUAAGUUUUAUUACAAUAAUAACUAAGUUUCAAUUUCAAACUAAGUUGGUUGGUGAUAUGAAGCUACCACGGACCAUAUACUUCUUCAAGGACGAGAAUGGGGUAAUGUUUGGAAUGCGUGUAACUAAAUAGCACUUUUUGUUUGUAAUUUAGAUAUCUGCAGUCCCCCUUUGUGAUUAUUUUUUGGAAGUUUCUCGGGAAGGUGUUGAAAUUGGCUUGCCUGACGUACCGUCCCAAUGAAGUUACUGCCUAGCAUUUAGGGGAAGAAAUCAGGGGACUGAACAUGAUUUGAAAGAUAGAAAAGCAGAAAUAACUCAAAUAGGUAGGUCAAACUGCUCUUUGGAAGAUAGAAAGCCCAAUCUGUGAAUAAUGUCAUUUUAAUGGAGAUCCUGGCUGCACAUUGCAAGAAAUCCAGAAGGUGGGUAGGAAUUUACAAUUUGAUACAUUUUCUACUACUGGUUGCUUUCUCCAGAAGUGCAAUGGUACAAAUCGUGGUGGUGGUUCUGUUUCUGAUCUUCUGAUUCCCGACCAAGAACAGACAGGAGGUAAUUCAUCAAAUGUGAUGUGAAAUUGUUCGGACAGAUUCUCAGUAAACCAUGCCCUAAGCCAAAUCCUAGUUCCAAUGCACAGUGGAGUGAUGGUAGCAACCAGCAGUUGAAAGUUGGCAGCGAUUCGUUAAGUGCAAGUCAUAGUUUAGAUGGCAAUUCCAAAUUCGAGCGAAAUAACUUGCUGGGUUCUGAGAAUCAUCCAGUCAGGAGUUUUGGUUUUUGGGAUACAGACAGGGUUUGCUUGGUUGCCCGAUUCUGCUAUCCUGCUGGCAAAAUAUCCUGCGGCAUUUGGUAAUUAUGCGAUAUCUUCCACCAAAAUGGAGCAGCCUACUUUGCAUGGGGUUGUGAAGACCACUGGGCGGAAUUUGAACAAUUUAGUGGGCAGGCGGCAAGCAUUUGCAAGGGAAGCCAGUGUAAGGUCUCCGUGGCAAUUCUCUUUUUGCCACAAUGUACAAUAGUUUUUGUAAGUUUAAUCCAGGAAACCAUAGGGCAGUAGAUGUUGCCGUCUUUUUGGUUACAGAAUUCUACGUCUCUAAUAUUUGCCAGUAGCAGCUUUGUAUUUGUUGUAUUGAUGGAAAUACAGCAAUAAAUUAUCAAGAGUUUGGUAGGUGUAAGAAGUUCAGUAGGGGAAUCUUAUUAGCUCAGUUGGUUGAUUA